GCGCAAUGAUAUGAAGGACCCACCCUGCGUAUCAGGGAAAAAAGAGGUGGCACAUUUUGGCUUUCCCAUCAGAAGCCACACCUAUGGCACCUAUGUGCCCACCACCCCUCCAGGAUAACAAGAGAAAGAAAUUUGUGUCAGUAAGGACUUGGGUUUGGACAGUUGAUGGACCCAUCUGUCUACUCCCAGUUCCCAUGAACUCACCAUCAACUGGACACACAGGCACACCCAACACCACAAAAUAUCAGGGCAUAGAGAAGAAGGAUUCCAGCACGGAUUCAGAAGAGCUGGAACGUUUUGCCUAUUACUUAAACCACAUCAGGACCGAACACAUCAAUCAUACAUAACAGGUCUCUGUAAGUGAGGACUGAGAACCCACCCCCUGGCUACAAGUCCAGCAGGUGAAAAGGAAUGAAAUUGUGUGUCGGUGGGGAGUCGGAUUAAGACAGCCUAGGUUCCAUCCGUCUGUUUCCACUCCCCAUUCAAUCAACAUCAACUGGACACACAUGAGAAUAGUCUCAAAGAUAAGGAUCUAAAUAAGGAAGAACUUAAGAAGACAUCUCUUUCAGACAGGAUUUGAGAUGGUAUAUGCAAAGUUGACACACCUAUAUUUUUUACUCAAACUUCAACCAAAUUGGAACCCAAUUUGUGUCUCAAGACUCAGGCAAAGACUCAGGCAUGACUCUCAGAUCUCAUUGCUGUAAACUGUCACCCAUCAUGAAGCUUUUCACGGCCUUCCUCCCUGUUUUACCCUCCCUUUAUUGAUCUUCCUCUAACUUUCACUCAAUAUUAAACACUUAUU